UUAAGCGACUAAGCGUACACGGUGGAUGCCUAGGCAGUCAGAGGCGAUGAAGGGCGUGCUAAUCUGCGAAAAGCGUCGGUAAGGUGAUAUGAACCGUUAUAACCGACGAUACCCGAAUGGGGAAACCCAGUGCAAUUCGUUGCACUAUUGCAUGGUGAAUACAUAGCCAUGCAAGGCGAACCGGGGGAACUGAAACAUCUAAGUACCCCGAGGAAAAGAAAUCAACCGAGAUUCCCCCAGUAGCGGCGAGCGAACGGGGAGGAGCCCAGAGUCUGAAUCAGUUUGUGUGUUAGUGGAAGCGUCUGGAAAGUCGCAGGGUACAGGGUGAUACUCCCGUACACAAAAACACACUUGCUGUGAACUCGAUGAGUAGGGCGGGACACGUGACAUCCUGUCUGAAUAUGGGGGGACCAUCCUCCAAGGCUAAAUACUCCUGACUGACCGAUAGUGAACCAGUACCGUGAGGGAAAGGCGAAAAGAACCCCGGCGAGGGGAGUGAAAUAGAACCUGAAACCGUGUACGUACAAGCAGUGGGAGCCUACUUUGUUGGGUGACUGCGUACCUUUUGUAUAAUGGGUCAGCGACUUAUAUUUUGUAGCAAGGUUAACCGAAUAGGGGAGCCGUAGGGAAACCGAGUCUUAACUGGGCGUCUAGUUGCAAGGUAUAGACCCGAAACCCGGUGAUCUAGCCAUGGGCAGGUUGAAGGUUGGGUAACACUAACUGGAGGACCGAACCGACUAAUGUUGAAAAAUUAGCGGAUGACUUGUGGCUGGGGGUGAAAGGCCAAUCAAACCGGGAGAUAGCUGGUUCUCCCCGAAAGCUAUUUAGGUAGCGCCUCGUGAACUCAUCUUCGGGGGUAGAGCACUGUUUCGGCUAGGGGGCCAUCCCGGCUUACCAAACCGAUGCAAACUCCGAAUACCGAAGAAUGUUAUCACGGGAGACACACGGCGGGUGCUAACGUCCGUCGUGAAGAGGGAAACAACCCAGACCGCCAGCUAAGGUCCCAAAGUCAUGGUUAAGUGGGAAACGAUGUGGGAAGGCAUAGACAGCCAGGAUGUUGGCUUAGAAGCAGCCAUCAUUUAAAGAAAGCGUAAUAGCUCACUGGUCGAGUCGGCCUGCGCGGAAGAUGUAACGGGGCUAAACCAUGCACCGAAGCUGCGGCAGCGACGCUUAGGCGUUGUUGGGUAGGGGAGCGUUCUGUAAGCCGUUGAAGGUGACCUGUGAGGGUUGCUGGAGGUAUCAGAAGUGCGAAUGCUGACAUAAGUAACGAUAAUGCGGGUGAAAAACCCGCACGCCGGAAGACCAAGGGUUCCUGUCCAACGUUAAUCGGGGCAGGGUGAGUCGACCCCUAAGGCGAGGCUGAAAAGCGUAGUCGAUGGGAAACAGGUUAAUAUUCCUGUACUUGGUGUUACUGCGAAGGGGGGACGGAGAAGGCUAGGCUAGCCGGGCGACGGUUGUCCCGGUUUAAGCAUGUAGGCGGAGUGACUUGGUAAAUCCGGUUGCUUAUCAACGCUGAGGUGUGAUGACGAGUCACUACGGUGAUGAAGUAGUUGAUGCCAAGCUUCCAGGAAAAGCCUCUAAGCAUCAGGUAACAUUAAAUCGUACCCCAAACCGACACAGGUGGUCAGGUAGAGAAUACUCAGGCGCUUGAGAGAACUCGGGUGAAGGAACUAGGCAAAAUGGUGCCGUAACUUCGGGAGAAGGCACGCUGGCAUUAGGUAAAGGGACUUGCUCCCGGAGCUGAAGCCAGUCGCAGAUACCAGCUGGCUGCAACUGUUUAAUAAAAACACAGCACUGUGCAAACACGAAAGUGGACGUAUACGGUGUGACGCCUGCCCGGUGCUGGAAGGUUAAUUGAUGGGGUCAGCCGCAAGGCGAAGCUCUUGAUCGAAGCCCCAGUAAACGGCGGCCGUAACUAUAACGGUCCUAAGGUAGCGAAAUUCCUUGUCGGGUAAGUUCCGACCUGCACGAAUGGCGUAAUGAUGGCCAGGCUGUCUCCACCCGAGACUCAGUGAAAUUGAACUCGCUGUGAAGAUGCAGUGUACCCGCGGCAAGACGGAAAGACCCCGUGAACCUUUACUAUAGCUUGACACUGAACAUUGAGCCUUGAUGUGUAGGAUAGGUGGGAGGCAUUGAAGUGUGGACGCCAGUCUGCAUGGAGCCAACCUUGAAAUACCACCCUUUAAUGUUUGAUGUUCUAACUCGGCCCCGUGAUCCGGGGUGAGGACAGUGUCUGGUGGGUAGUUUGACUGGGGCGGUCUCCUCCCAAAGAGUAACGGAGGAGCACGAAGGUUAGCUAAUCACGGUCGGACAUCGUGAGGUUAGUGCAAAGGCAUAAGCUAGCUUGACUGCGAGAGUGACGGCUCGAGCAGGUACGAAAGUAGGUCUUAGUGAUCCGGUGGUUCUGAAUGGAAGGGCCAUCGCUCAACGGAUAAAAGGUACUCCGGGGAUAACAGGCUGAUACCGCCCAAGAGUUCAUAUCGACGGCGGUGUUUGGCACCUCGAUGUCGGCUCAUCACAUCCUGGGGCUGAAGUAGGUCCCAAGGGUAUGGCUGUUCGCCAUUUAAAGUGGUACGCGAGCUGGGUUUAGAACGUCGUGAGACAGUUCGGUCCCUAUCUGCCGUGGGCGUUGGAAGAUUGAGAGGGGCUGCUCCUAGUACGAGAGGACCGGAGUGGACGAAUCACUGGUGUUCGGGUUGUCAUGCCAAUGGCAUUGCCCGGUAGCUAAAUUCGGAAGAGAUAACCGCUGAAAGCAUCUAAGCGGGAAACUUGCCUCGAGAUGAGUCUUCCCUGGGGCUUUAAGCCCCCUGAAGGAACGUUAAAGACUAUGACGUUGAUAGGCUGGGUGUGUAAGUGCAGCGAUGCAUUGAGCUAACCAGUACUAAUGAUCCGUGAGGCUUAACCUU
rnacentral:rRNA from 1 species